rnacentral:rRNA from 1 species
CACGUAGGGUGCGAGCGUUGGCCGGAAUUAUUGGGCGUAAAGAGCUCGUAGGCGGUGUGUCGCGUCGGCCGUGAAAACCUGGGGCUUAACUCUGGGCUUGCGGUCGAUACGGGCAUCACUGGAGUUCGGCAGGGGAGACUGGAAUUCCUGGUGUAGCGGUGAAGUGCGCAGAUAUCAGGAGGAACACCGGUGGCGAAGGCGGGUCUCUGGGCCGAUACUGACGCUGAGGAGCGAAAGCGUGGGGAGCGAACAGG